GUAAUCCUGGCUCAGGAUGAACGCUAGCUACAGGCUUAACACAUGCAAGUCGAGGGGCAGCAUGAACUUAGCUUGCUAAGUUUGAUGGCGACCGGCGCACGGGUGAGUAACACGUAUCCAACCUGCCGAUGACUCGGGGAUAGCCUUUCGAAAGAAAGAUUAAUACCCGAUGGCAUAGUUCUUCCGCAUGGUGGAACUAUUAAAGAAUUUCGGUCAUCGAUGGGGAUGCGUUCCAUUAGG
rnacentral:rRNA from 1 species